rnacentral:rRNA from 1 species
AUGAACGCUGGCGGCGUGCCUAAUACAUGCAAGUCGAGCGAACAGACGAGGAGCUUGCUCCUCUGACGUUAGCGGCGGACGGGUGAGUAACACGUGGAUAACCUACCUAUAAGACUGGGAUAACUUCGGGAAACCGGAGCUAAUACCGGAUAAUAUAUUGAACCGCAUGGUUCAAUAGUGAAAGACGGGUUUGCUGUCACUUAUAGAUGGAUCCGCGCCGCAUUAGCUAGUUGGUAAGGUAACGGCUUACCAAGGCGACGAUGCGUAGCCGACCUGAGAGGGUGAUCGGCCACACUGGAACUGAGACACGGUCCAGACUCCUACGGGAGGCAGCAGUAGGGAAUCUUCCGCAAUGGGCGAAAGCCUGACGGAGCAACGCCGCGUGAGUGAUGAAGGUCUUCGGAUCGUAAAACUCUGUUAUUAGGGAAGAACAAAUGUGUAAGUAACUAUGCACGUCUUGACGGUACCUAAUCAGAAAGCCACGGCUAACUACGUG